rnacentral:rRNA from 1 species
ACUCCUACGGGAGGCAGCAGUGGGAAUAUUGGACAAUGGGCGCAAGCCUGAUCCAGCAAUACCGCGUGUGUGAAGAAGGCCUUCGGGUUGUAAAGCACUUUCAGCAGCGAGGAAAGUUUAUUCGUUAAUAGCGGAUAGAAUUGACGUUAGUUGCAGAAGAAGCACCGGCUAACUCUGUGCCAGCAGCCGCGGUAAUACAGAGGGUGCAAGCGUUAAUCGGAAUUACUGGGCGUAAAGCGUGCGCAGGCGGUCUGUUAAGCGAGAUGUGAAAGCCCG